CUUAAACUAAGGUGAGAUGAAAUUUUGGACUUAAUUGAAAGGUUCCUAUAUAAUUAGAGACCAAACUAACCAAAGAGGAAAAAAAAUAGCUUCUGUGUCGAACACGUUCUAGCGUGUGGGAGGACCCAUCGUGCUCUAGCAGCACAUGCAACGUCCUACGUCCAUGAUGUUCCCAAAUACAUCUAGACAUUCUCUUCCAUUACAGUUAGAGCGUGUUGCGUUGUUCUUCCCAUGGAGGUGCCUCCGACCAACUUUCAAUCUUUCUCAAAAUCAAUCUUGAGAAAAA
rnacentral:lncRNA from 1 species